rnacentral:rRNA from 1 species
GAUGAACGCUAGCUACAGGCUUAACACAUGCAAGUCGAGGGGUAACAAGAGAAAAGCUUGCUUUUCUUGUUGACGACCGGCGCACGGGUGAGUAACGCGUAUCCAACCUGCCUAUAACUAGGGAAUAACCUUGCGAAAGUAAGACUAAUACCCUAUGAUUUCCUUUGAUGACAUCAGAUUAGGAAUAAAGAUUUAUCGGUUAUAGAUGGGGAUGCGUCUGAUUAGCUUGUUGGCGGGGUAACGGCCCACCAAGGCAACGAUCAGUAGGGGUUCUGAGAGGAAGGUCCCCCACAUUGGAACUGGGACACGGUCCAAACUCCUACGGGAGGCAGCAGUGAGGAAUAUUGGUCAAUGGGCGGAAGCCUGAACCAGCCAAGUAGCGUGCAGGAUGACGGCCCUAUGGGUUGUAAACUGCUUUUAUACAGGAAUAAAGUUAGGCACGUGUGGUUAUUUGUAGGUACUGUAUGAAUAAGGACCGGCUAAUUCCGUGCCAGCAGCCGCCGUAA